rnacentral:rRNA from 1 species
GGGUUGUGAGGUUAAGCGACUAAGCGUACACGGUGGAUGCCCUGGCAGUCAGAGGCGAUGAAGGGCGUGCUAAUCUGCGAUAAGCGCCGGUAAGGUGAUAUGAACCGUUAUAACCGGCGAUACCCGAAUGGGGAAACCCAGUGUGACUCGUCACACUAUCAUUAACUGAAUCCAUAGGUUAAUGAGGCGAACCGGGGGAACUGAAACAUCUAAGUACCCCGAGGAAAAGAAAUCAACCGAGAUUCCCCCAGUAGCGGCGAGCGAACGGGGAGGAGCCCAGAGCCUGAAUCAGCAUGUGUGUUAGUGGAAGCGUCUGGAAAGGCGCGCGAUACAGGGUGACAGCCCCGUACACAAAAGCGCAUGUGCUGUGAGCUCGAUGAGUAGGGCGGGACACGUGGUAUCCUGUCUGAAUAUGGGGGGACCAUCCUCCAAGGCUAAAUACUCCUGACUGACCGAUAGUGAACCAGUACCGUGAGGGAAAGGCGAAAAGAACCCCGGCGAGGGGAGUGAAAAAGAACCUGAAACCGUGUACGUACAAGCAGUGGGAGCACCCUUCGGGGUGUGACUGCGUACCUUUUGUAUAAUGGGUCAGCGACUUAUAUUCUGUAGCAAGGUUAACCGUAUAGGGGAGCCGGAGGGAAACCGAGUCUUAACCGGGCGUUAAGUUGCAGGGUAUAGACCCGAAACCCGGUGAUCUAGCCAUGGGCAGGUUGAAGGUUGGGUAACACUAACUGGAGGACCGAACCGACUAAUGUUGAAAAAUUAGCGGAUGACCUGUGGCUGGGGGUGAAAGGCCAAUCAAACCGGGAGAUAGCUGGUUCUCCCCGAAAGCUAUUUAGGUAGCGCCUCGUGAAUUCAUCUCCGGGGGUAGAGCACUGUUUCGGCUAGGGGGCCAUCCCGGCUUACCAACCCGAUGCAAACUGCGAAUACCGGAGAAUGUUAUCACGGGAGACACACGGCGGGUGCUAACGUCCGUCGUGAAGAGGGAAACAACCCAGACCGCCAGCUAAGGUCCCAAAGUCAUGGUUAAGUGGGAAACGAUGUGGGAAGGCCCAGACAGCCAGGAUGUUGGCUUAGAAGCAGCCAUCAUUUAAAGAAAGCGUAAUAGCUCACUGGUCGAGUCGGCCUGCGCGGAAGAUGUAACGGGGCUAAACCAUGCACCGAAGCUGCGGCAGCGAACGUAUCACCCAAGACAACUUUACGGAGUUGACGAUUGACGGAGCGAAGCGACGUCAAAGCGUUCAUUAAAGUCGAGUUGGCUUAGGGAUACGUUCGUUGGGUAGGGGAGCGUUCUGUAAGCCUGCGAAGGUGACCUGUGAGGGUUGCUGGAGGUAUCAGAAGUGCGAAUGCUGACAUAAGUAACGAUAAAGCGGGUGAAAAGCCCGCUCGCCGGAAGACCAAGGGUUCCUGUCCAACGUUAAUCGGGGCAGGGUGAGUCGACCCCUAAGGCGAGGCCGAAAGGCGUAGUCGAUGGGAAACGGGUUAAUAUUCCCGUACUUGGUGUUACUGCGAAGGGGGGACGGAGAAGGCUAUGUUGGCCGGGCGACGGUUGUCCCGGUUUAAGCGUGUAGGUGUGUGUUCCAGGUAAAUCCGGUUCACUUUAACACUGAGGCGUGACGACGAGGCACUACGGUGCUGAAGCAACAAAUGCCCUGCUUCCAGGAAAAGCCUCUAAGCAUCAGGUAACACGAAAUCGUACCCCAAACCGACACAGGUGGUCAGGUAGAGAAUACCAAGGCGCUUGAGAGAACUCGGGUGAAGGAACUAGGCAAAAUGGUGCCGUAACUUCGGGAGAAGGCACGCUGACACGUAGGUGAAGUGAUUUACUCACGGAGCUGAAGUCAGUCGAAGAUACCAGCUGGCUGCAACUGUUUAUUAAAAACACAGCACUGUGCAAACACGAAAGUGGACGUAUACGGUGUGACGCCUGCCCGGUGCCGGAAGGUUAAUUGAUGGGGUCAGCGCAAGCGAAGCUCCUGAUCGAAGCCCCGGUAAACGGCGGCCGUAACUAUAACGGUCCUAAGGUAGCGAAAUUCCUUGUCGGGUAAGUUCCGACCUGCACGAAUGGCGUAAUGAUGGCCAGGCUGUCUCCACCCGAGACUCAGUGAAAUUGAACUCGCUGUGAAGAUGCAGUGUACCCGCGGCAAGACGGAAAGACCCCGUGAACCUUUACUAUAGCUUGACACUGAACAUUGAGCCUUGAUGUGUAGGAUAGGUGGGAGGCUUUGAAGUGUGGACGCCAGUCUGCAUGGAGCCGACCUUGAAAUACCACCCUUUAAUGUUUGAUGUUCUAACGUGGACCCGUAAUCCGGGUUGCGGACAGUGUCUGGUGGGUAGUUUGACUGGGGCGGUCUCCUCCUAAAGAGUAACGGAGGAGCACGAAGGUUGGCUAAUCCUGGUCGGACAUCAGGAGGUUAGUGCAAUGGCAUAAGCCAGCUUGACUGCGAGCGUGACGGCGCGAGCAGGUGCGAAAGCAGGUCAUAGUGAUCCGGUGGUUCUGAAUGGAAGGGCCAUCGCUCAACGGAUAAAAGGUACUCCGGGGAUAACAGGCUGAUACCGCCCAAGAGUUCAUAUCGACGGCGGUGUUUGGCACCUCGAUGUCGGCUCAUCACAUCCUGGGGCUGAAGUAGGUCCCAAGGGUAUGGCUGUUCGCCAUUUAAAGUGGUACGCGAGCUGGGUUUAGAACGUCGUGAGACAGUUCGGUCCCUAUCUGCCGUGGGCGCUGGAGAACUGAGGGGGGCUGCUCCUAGUACGAGAGGACCGGAGUGGACGCAUCACUGGUGUUCGGGUUGUCAUGCCAAUGGCACUGCCCGGUAGCUAAAUGCGGAAGAGAUAAGUGCUGAAAGCAUCUAAGCACGAAACUUGCCCCGAGAUGAGUUCUCCCUGAGACUUUAGGUCUCCUGAAGGAACGUUGAAGACGACGACGUUGAUAGGCCGGGUGUGUAAGCGCAGCGAUGCGUUGAGCUAACCGGUACUAAUGAACCGUGAGGCUUAACCUUACAACGCCGAAG